rnacentral:rRNA from 1 species
UACGUAGGGUGCAAGCGUUGUCCGGAAUUAUUGGGCGUAAAAGAGCUCGUAGGCGGUCUGUCGCGUCGGCUGUGAAAACCCGGGGCUCAACCCCGGGCCUGCAGUCGAUACGGGCAGACUAGAGUGCGGUAGGGGAGACUGGAAUUCCUGGUGUAGCGGUGAAAUGCGCAGAUAUCAGGAGGAACACCGGUGGCGAAGGCGGGUCUCUGGGCCGAUACUGACGCUGAGGAGCGAAAGCGUGGGGAGCGAACAGG